rnacentral:rRNA from 1 species
GACGAACGCUGGCGGCGUGCUUAACACAUGCAAGUCGAACGGAAAGGCCCUUCGGGGUACUCGAGUGGCGAACGGGUGAGUAACACGUGGGUGAUCUGCCCUGCACUUUGGGAUAAGCCUGGGAAACUGGGUCUAAUACCGAAUAGGACCACGCGCUUCAUGGUGUGUGGUGGAAGGCUUUUGCGGUGUGGGAUGGGCCCGCGGCCUAUCAGCUUGUUGGUGGGGUAAUGGCCUACCAAGGCGACGACGGGUAGCCGGCCUGAGAGGGUGACCGGCCACACUGGGACUGAGAUACGGCCCAGACUCCUACGGGAGGCAGCAGUGGGGAAUAUUGCACAAUGGGCGCAAGCCUGAUGCAGCGACGCCGCGUGAGGGAUGACGGCCUUCGGGUUGUAAACCUCUUUCAAUAGGGACGAAGCGCAAGUGACGGUACCUAUAGAAGAAGCACCGGCCAACUACGUGCCAGCAGCCGCGGUAAUACGUAGGGUGCGAGCGUUGUCCGGAAUUACUGGGCGUAAAGAGCUCGUAGGUGGUUUGUCGCGUUGUUCGUGAAAACUCACAGCUUAACUGUGGGCGUGCGGGCGAUACGGGCAGACUAGAGUACUGCAGGGGAGACUGGAAUUCCUGGUGUAGCGGUGGAAUGCGCAGAUACCAGGAGGAACACCGGUGGCGAAGGCGGGUCUCUGGGCAGUAACUGACGCUGAGGAGCGAAAGCGUGGGGAGCGAACAGGAUUAGAUACCCUGGUAGUCCACGCCGUAAACGGUGGGUACUAGGUGUGGGUUCCUUCCUUGGGAUCCGUGCCGUAGCUAACGCAUUAAGUACCCCGCCUGGGGAGUACGGCCGCAAGGCUAAAACUCAAAGGAAUUGACGGGGGCCCGCACAAGCGGCGGAGCAUGUGGAUUAAUUCGAUGCAACGCGAAGAACCUUACCUGGGUUUGACAUGCACAGGACGCCGGCAGAGAUGUCGGUUCCCUUGUGGCCUGUGUGCAGGUGGUGCAUGGCUGUCGUCAGCUCGUGUCGUGAGAUGUUGGGUUAAGUCCCGCAACGAGCGCAACCCUUGUCCUAUGUUGCCAGCGGGUUAUGCCGGGGACUCGUAGGAGACUGCCGGGGUCAACUCGGAGGAAGGUGGGGAUGACGUCAAGUCAUCAUGCCCCUUAUGUCCAGGGCUUCACACAUGCUACAAUGGCCGGUACAAAGGGCUGCGAUGCCGUGAGGUGGAGCGAAUCCUUUCAAAGCCGGUCUCAGUUCGGAUCGGGGUCUGCAACUCGACCCCGUGAAGUCGGAGUCGCUAGUAAUCGCAGAUCAGCAACGCUGCGGUGAAUACGUUCCCGGGCCU